AGCAGCCGCGGUAAUUCCAGCUCCAAUAGCGUAUAUUAAAGUUGUUGCAGUUAAAAAAGCUCGUAGUUGAAUUUCGAGAUCAGUACGCUGGUCGUGCCUUCGGUAUGUACUGGUGUCACUGGUUUCUCCCUUCUGAAGAACCGUUAUGCCAUUAAGUUGGUGUGGCGGGGAAUCAGGACUGUUACUUUGAAAAAUUAGAGUGUUUAAAGCAGGCUCGCGCUUGAAUACAUUAGCAUGGAAUAAUGAAAUAGGACGUUUGACCCUAUUUUGUUGGUUUCUAGGAUCGACGUAAUGAUUAAUAGGGAUAGUUGGGGGCAUUAGUAUUCAAUUGUCAGAGGUGAAAUUCUUGGAUUUAUUGAAGACUAACUACUGCGAAAGCAUUUGCCAAGGAUGUUUUCAUUAAUCAAGAACGAAAGUUAGGGGAUCGAAGACGAUCAGAUACCGUCGUAGUCUUAACCAUAAACUAUGCCGACUAGGGAUCGGAUGAUGUUAAUUUUUUAAUGUACUCA
rnacentral:rRNA from 1 species